UGGGCCAGCUCAGCACCAUCAGAGGAACCAGCAGGAGCUCUGGCACCUGACCCUGCUGUGCCAGAAGAGCUGGCUUUGGAGAUGCAGAGUGCCAUUCCAACAACCCGGAAGAGGACAAGCAUUUUGCUUUGCUCUAUUUGUGUUACUUUCUUCUACAAGUGAUCUUGAGACUGACGUUUUCUUCUCUAUAGUAAGAUGGCCUGGACACGACAGUAACCGCUGGACCUUUUAGGAGACAGACUGAAAACUGUGUGGGCGUGCAAGGGUCUCUGUGAUGCACAUGGAGGGAGGAGGGAGACAGCCCCAUGGGGUGAGGUUGCCUCUGAGGCACCUUGGCUGUUGUGAAUAGGGCUGCAAUAAACAUGGACACUCCUUUAAGAAUAAUAUCUCAUUUUGGAGAGUACGGGGCCUGCCCUUAAACCCAUGCAUGGGACGUGAAAGUCCCUCUAGCUGCAUCGGGAAACACUGCUCUCAUCCUACACGUAUGACAACUGAAGGCUGGAGAAGGUAGUAUUGGAAACAUGAAUUAAGCCCCCAGCUCUUUGCUCAGAACUCCUUCACCUCCUGGAACCUACUGGUCCUCACCUACCCCCAGAGGAUCCAACUGGCCUGAUUCUCCACUGAACAAGUCACUCUCCUGGACCCUGGCUGGUCCCUGUGGGUCGGAAGAGGCUGGAGCCCAGAGCUCUACCCAUCUGUGGUGGCUGUAACUGUGGCCUGAGACUCCAUUUUCAUGAUUUUCAUUGGAGGAAGAAGCACAAAUUCAUGAUGAAAACCAGCCCCUCCUGGCCACUGAUUCCCAGAGGACACGGCUGCCCUGUCUUUGUUCAAAAUGCUGCAAGUGAGAGAGCAACAGAGAUGCACAAGAGCCCCUGCUCAACAGGUGCAGGCCUCCCUUACCCUGUGAGUCCCCAGCUGCUGUGGAGUUACUCACCAGGCCACCUUGCCAACACCCACGUGGUCUCAUUUUUGGUGCUGCCCAUUGGUUGAGCCUCACUUCAUUCCUCACCACUAGAAGAAAAGAAAUUGGCAGCUGCAGGCCCUACAAGUUUUUCCUCCAAAUUCACUCUCCAUAAUAAAUGUUCCCCAUCAAACCAGGAUGAUGCUACAGAGGAAGAAGUGGCGACUAAGACCCUGGGGCCAAAGGCUGUGGGGAGGCUGCUCUGCCUGGACCACCGGAGACGUUUCCAGGCAAACGGGGCGAGGCUCGCUGGAGGCACACAGGCUUCCCUUGGACCUGGAAAGAUGGGUUCUGAUGGGCUGGGCUCCAACAGCAUCGAGCAAGAGGUGGAGGAAUAGGACAGGCUCCCCGGAUUGCAGCCUGUUUAAGGUCAUGUGCCCUGCAGGACUGUGUCGGAGAGGACUCCCUCAUCCUGCAUGGAUAUGACUCAAUUUCCCCUCAACGUUUUCUCCUGGUGGAAGGUGUCUUCACUAUAUGCUCCAGGACAGGGAGACUCGGGGUCCGUGCACCUCUUACUCCCCACCAAGGCUCCCCAGGUUCCCAUCAGCUUUCCUGCUGAAGAAAGGUCCAGAGUGGUCAAGAGUUGAAUCUGGGUGACGAGUGGGAGGUGGAUUCAUCUGAAGCCAAGAAUGUAGGUUCUCUGGGGUCCUGUUAGAUGUCCCUCAUUAAUGUUGGAGAGAGUAACAGUAACAGAGACCCAAGGAGGCUGAAAAUGUCCUGAAUCUGCCCCUCAGUUGGCCCCAAGCUCUGUUAAGUGUCACCUGAGGUUCCAGCUGACCACAUGCACAGGAACUAGCCCAGGAGCUCCACUGUGACUCUGCCCAAUAAAAUCCAGAAUACAGUGCUGAGAAACAAUGUGACACAGUGACACAAAAAAUCCUCCUGGUAAAAAGUCACUGGGUUGACAAUAGAUGUCUUUACUACCCUUUAGGCUCCAGAUCUGCUUAUUCUUACACAAAGUUGCAAACUGCACCAACUCAGAUACUGCAAGAACCUCUGAGACCAACCCACAAACAAAUGGGUGUUAUGGCUAGAGUCUGGCCCUAUGGAUUAGAGUGGAUGCUCAGGGCAAGGCAGCCUGUCACCCCUUCUUGGUAGGCUGACCAGUUGAUGUACCUAUCUCAGCUUCAGUUUCCUCCUCUGCCAAAUGAGGACAAAAUAGUGCUUUAUUGAUUGGUUCUAGGAUGAAAUUAAAUGAUGCACAAUGAUGAAAUAAUAUAGCUUAGGGCCUGUCACUUGCUGGACAUAGAUAUUCACUAAAGUUAAUUGAAAAAAAAAUUAAAUCUUAUUUUACUGUGUUAUCUAUACA